ensembl:lncRNA
AGAGUAUUUUUCACCACAUAAAGAUCUAAUUUAAGUUGAAACCAUAAAAGCUGUAAAGAUGAUAAAUAUUGUACUAUGACAGGCUGCUAAGUGUUAUGACAGUAACUUAAAGGUUAUAGAUUGAAUCCCUGAGCAUACAAGGUAAGAAACCUUUUGUUUUGUAAUUAUUAAAAAAAUAUUGUUGGACCAGAAUCCUGACAAUAUAUUUAGGAUAAAUUUGAGGGUAUUCUCUAGUUCUGAAGUAAUGUCAAGUAAUUUAGUCAGUCAUUCACACUGGUUGCACCCUCUCAAAUGAUUUGAAAUGUACACAAUAUUAAAGAUUCAUAAAAUUUUACAGCAGGUACAGUAUAUGCUACUUAUACUGUAUUGGGGAUCUUGCAUUAGGGAUCUUACCACAGCCCCUGGUUAAUACCACUUCCUUGUUUAUUCUUCUAUUGUUUCAGAUAGCUGACUUGUGAUUGUGUUAAAGCUAGCGCUGUAAUUAAAAUAAUAGUAAACAAAUGUUCCAUAGAAAACUGGUUUGAAAAUCCAUUAUUAGGAUACGCAUUUAUACUGUCAUGCUUGUUGCAUCUCCAUCCCUGCCAGAGUGCAUUGCGCUCGCGCACUUUUUGCCGGUGAGCACUUUUUCUAUUCUCCUCCCCCACCUUGAUAAGCGAAUCCCUUGCUCGUGCUGAAGAGCAUGAUCGAUUUGCGCGCCCGCUAGCAGAUGUGGAACGUUAUUCCUUGAUUUGUUGGCUGCGGUGGAACUUGCUGUCCUGUGUUAAGGUAAGAGUUGACUACCGAAAUUAUUAUUAACCAGUAUUUUAGACUAAUGCUUAUAGGCUUGUUUUUUUUUGUAAGCCAUGCCGUUUCUGGAAACGUAAUUAAUUUCGGGGGAAUUUAUUAUUUCUGAUAGUUGUCUCGUGACCUCGUGUCUGACUGGAGAUGAAUUGGAAACUGUUUUCAAACCUAUUUAAAUAUGAAACAUGUGGUUAGUCAUUAUAUAUUUCGCCAUAUAAUUCGCUGCUUUAUGUAAUUAGCUAGAGCUGUGAAUUAAAAUAAUAUUGACGAUUGUCGAACUGGCUUGCAAAAAAGACGUAUAACUAGCUAAUGGUUAGCUAACAUUAGCCAGCUAGCUUAUUGAGAAAGUUAAAGGAGCUAGGCUAGCUAAGUUUAGCUACAACAUAGGCUAUCACUACUGAGUGGGGGAGGGGAAUAGUCAAUGUUAGGACCAGCAGAAUGUGUGUCUAGAGUGGGGGAGGGGAAUAGUCAAUGUUAAGACCAGCAGAAUGUGUGUGUAGUGUGGGGGAGGGGAAUAGUCAAUGUUAAGACCAGCAGAAUGUGUGUGUAGUGUGGGGGAGGGGAAUAGUCAAUGUUAGGACCAGCAGAAUGUGUGUGUAGAGUGGGGGAGGGGAAUAGUCAAUGUUAGGACCAGCAGAAUGUGUGUGUAGAGUGGGGGAGGGGAAUAGUCAAUGUUAAGACCAGCAGAAUGUGUGUGUAGUGUGGGGGAGGGGAAUAGUCAAUGUUAGGACCAGCAGAAUGUGUGUGUAGAGUGGGGGAGGGGAAUAGUCAAUGUUAGGACCAGCAGAAGGUGUGUGCAACAACAAUGUAUUUUCACAUUAUUGUGUAGUUUGGUAUGAAACAUUGAAAGGCUAAAACAUGAUAAAUAUUUCAAAUUGUUAGCCUAGUAUUUUCUUCUUUACUGGUUAGGGUAUGCUUAUUACUGAUAAAUCCAGGAUUUAAAAUAUUAAAAUGUUUUUGUUUAUGCAGAUUCCUGUGAUGACAACACAACAGGUAGUGACUUAUGUUAUGAAUGUUUGCUGUUAUACCACAAGCAGGGAAUGUGUACAUUUAUGUACAAAUACUGUUUUACAUUCAAAGUUGCAUAGAAAAAUAAGGGAAUUAUAUUAAGUGGGUGUUUUUUAGCCAACAGUGAUGUGCCCCAGCCCAGAUUAUCUGUUGUGUGGCUAGCAAUCUUGUCAUUCUGUGUGACCAAACCAAUUUUUUAAAUUUGUCUUCCUUUACGCAGGCACUGCAGAGAUUAAAAUGCCGCAUGGAGCUUUUAAAAAAGCACCAUUCAAAGUGUGAGUCCAGAAUGGAAAAGAGAAACAGAGAAGAGCAGACACCUGAUACUGAUGUUGUCAGUACCUCCAAAGAGAUGGAAGAUGGGACUGAGUCUGGGUCGAGAGGCCAUAUGUUCAAUGAUGCACCUCCCUUGAUCAGAACUGAUAGCGUAUAUUUAACCAAAGAAAUGCUUGGAUAUGAUACUGACAACUCAAUAACCAGCACUGACAACAGUGAGGAUGAUUAUGUCCCAGCCUCAUCGGAGUCAUCAGAGGAAGACAGUUCCGCUGGAAUAUCUGGACUCAAGAGAAAUAAGCCAAAGAAAGACGCACGUAAGAAAUGCUUGAUCAAAAGAAAAGAGUACAACAAGACCUAUGAAGGGCACACUAGUACCCCAAAAGAUGUGAGUCUAAGCACUGAAACCUUGGUUGUAUUGAAAGUCUCGCAGGCUGAUGGUUCCAAGAAUUACCACAAAAAAAAGCACUUCUGUCUGUUCUGUGAAGAACCCCAACUGAAAAUUGCACGUCAUUUAGAACGUAAACAUAGUAAGGAAAUUGAAGUAGCUAGUGCCCUUCGAUUUGCAAAGAAUUCAAAAGAAAGGAGACUUCAUCUGAAUCUCCUUCGCAAAAAAGGGAAUCGGGCACACAACAUUCGGGUACUUAAAGAGGGAAAAGGAUUUUUGGUACCUUGUAAACAAACAAGUAAUCAAGACAGCAAUCCAGAGGACUAUCAGCAUUGUUUUGCUUGCUAUGGGCUCUUCAAACGUAAAUUCAUGUGGAAACAUGCGGAACGGUGUACACUAGCAAGUAAAGUUCGCAAAAUGAUGCCUGGGAAAACCCCAAUACAGACACUCUGUGCAAGCUCUCAACCGGUUCCUAAAGAAGUGAGUGAAAAGUUAUGGAAACUUGUAAAUCAUAUGAAUCAAGAUGACAUAGCCCAUGCAAUAAAAGAAGACCGAUACAUAAUCGCCCUGGGUGAAAAAAUGUUCAACAAAAAGGGGGAGAACCGAUCACAACACCAGCACAUUCGUCAAACUAUGCGAGAACUAGGGAGACUUUUGAUUUCAGGUAGAAUGGUGACACCUUUGAAAAAAAUGAAGGAUUAUAUCAACCCCAAGAACUUUGAAUAUGUCAUAAAAGCUGUCAAAGAAGUGGCUGGCUUUAACGAAGAGACAAAUAGGUUUGGAAAGGCCACUCUGGCCACAAAGCUUGGACAAAAUAUACAGAAAAUUGCAGACAUCUUUGAGAGUGAAGCUCUCAUUGCACAGAAUGAAGAGAAGAUGAAGCUUGUCCGUGACUUCAGAGGUAUAUAUCACCUUCGCUGGAAUGAGAUGAUCUCUGCUGCUGCAUACCGUACACUGGAACAGAAGAAAUGGAAUGCACCCCAGCUCAUUCCAUUAGCAGAUGAUGUAAAGAAAAUGCAUAUGUACAUGGAGGAUGAUCAGAAACGAUACUACGAACAACUGUUAAGUCUAAAAACAUCAAAAAAUUGGAGCAAUCUAGUACAGGUGAUACUGGCCCAGAUGAUAAUCUUCAACCGAAGGAGGGACAAAGAAGUGUCUGCUAUGACUGUGGCAACAUUUCUCUCCCGGGACAAAUCUCCAAUUAACCCUGAUGUUUUAGAAGCAUUGACAGAGGUGGAAAAAAUGCUCUGCAAAUAUUUUGAACGCAUAGAAACCCGUGGGAAGAGGGACAGGAAGGUACCGUUACUUCUCACUCCAGUAAUGGUCAAAUCUUUGGAGCUGCUUGUCAAGGAGCGGAGCUCAUGUGGUGUGGGCGACUAUAAUAUCUACUUAUUUGCCAGGCCAGGAUAUGAUACACAUUUUCGGGGAUCCGACUGCAUUCGUGCCUAUGCCAAAAAAUGUGGAGCCCAGCAACCUAAAGCACUAUCCUCUACUAAACUACGAAAACAGGUUGCCACCCUCUCCAGAGUGUUGAAUCUCAAUGAUACAGAACAGGACCAAUUUGCUGACUUCUUGGGUCAUGACAUUAGGGUACAUCGCAAAUUCUACCGUCUACCUGAAGGAACUCUUCAGUUAGCAAAGAUCAGCAAGAUACUGAUGGCCUGUGAACAAGGCAGAUUGACAGAGUUCAAGGGGAAAAGUCUGGACCAAAUCUCCAUUAGCCCCUGUGAAACUCUCAUGUCUGAAAAAAAGGAUGACACAGACUACUCAAAUUUGGAAUCGGAAAGUGUCUCAGAGAAAGCGGAGUCUUCUGAAGAAGAGUCUUCAAAUGGAAACCUGACAGAGAUGACAGCGAUUGGUCACAGGCAGUCAGCACAGAAGGGGAAGCUGGGACAAAAGAGCUGUUCCCACAACACGGCCGUAUCUGAACAAACCGAAGACACAGGCUCCAACUGGGCAUCAGGAAUUCACUCUGAUAGAGAGGAGUCUUCUGAUACUGAUCUGACAGAGAUGACAGCGAUUCGUCACAAGCAGUCAGCACCAAAGGGGAAGCUGGGACGAAAGAGCGGUUCCUACAAAGCUGCCGUGUCUGAAAAAAUGGAAGACGCACACUGGAAUUGGGCAUCAAGAAGUGACCCUGAUAGAGAGGAGUCUUCUUAUACUAUUCUGCCAGGAAAGACGUCAGCGAAACAAGACGUGCAACCAGGACCAGCAAAAAGGUUUGAAAAGCAGUCUUUUUCCCUCCCUGCCAAAGGGGCAAAACAGAAGUGGUCGAGUACGGAGGUGGAUGCAGUUGAACAUUCUUUGAUGGAUUUCAUUCGAAUUGGAAAGACCCCUGGAAAACAAGACUGUGAGAGAUGUAUUUCUGCUUUUCCCCAAGCACUAGUAAACCGGGACUGGAGAGCUGUAAAAUUCUAUGUACGCAAUAGAAUAACUGCAGAUCAAAGACGUCCAAAUGCAAAAUACAUGUGAUUUUUAUUUGUUCUAGCUACAAAAGUUAUAUGGUUAAAAUCUUAACUUGAUAUGGUGGUUCCUCAACCUGAAUCUUGAGUGUGAGCCAAAUUCUGUAAACCAUGAGUUGGUUUAUAUUUAGGAGCCUUUACGAAGUCUAAAAAUCAACAGAAGUAAAUGGGGCUGAUGAGCAUGUUUUUAUUUUUCAUCAGCAUCAAACAAAAUACAAUUUUAUUUUGAACAGGUGAUUAAGACAUUUAUUUUAACUAGGCUCACACUCAGCCAGCUGUUUUGGCGUUUGUUAUAGCUCUUUAAAGAAAGAUUAACUGUUCAUUUUUUGUCCAGUCAGUGACAAACCACUUUAAUAGUUAGUAAGCAAAAAUUUUAUACUUUCAAUGUAGACAUUCUCAUAGGCUUCUUUUAUUUUUCCUGUUGAAUGUUUACAAAAAAAUUACUGCAAUUACAAUAAAAAAAUAAGUAUACUUAAAAUUAUCUAAACUUUAACAAAUUUAAAUAGAAUUAUUUAGUGUAUACAUUUAAAAUAUUUGAAGUGUUUUUUAAGACAAGAUUAGUUAAAUCUCAAUUUAGAGCAUUUUAUUUUAAUAUACUGGAAAACUUAAGCAAUAAAAUACAGGGGGUGUUUAUUUUGAAUAUACCAUGUUUGUUUAUCACAACUUUUUUUACUGCUGUCAUUAGUGGUACCGGUUCAUAAUAGCAGUAUAACAUCUAAGGGGUUUGUAAUAUAUCGCCAGUUUACCAUGGCAGAGAGUUGUUUGUAGGCAUGAUUGAACACCAUUGAUGCAGCAUUAGGUUGUAGUACGUUGGCAAUGUAUCAAACUCCUGAGAUGCCUUACUGCUCUUCUAAACCGUUCACUAACACAAUUAGAGCAGUAGGAAGUGAUGGCAUCAUAGCUGUGAUAUACAAACCAUCGUCCAAUCAACAAUCAUAAUUAAGUCUUAACAAUAUAUCAUAUCAGUAUAUCAAGGUAUGACAUUGACAUUACUUUUUCUGCUCUAAUUUUGUUGGUAGCAGUUUUAUUUUUUUAUUUUUUACAGCUGCAGUGUCUUACCUAAGAAAAGUUCUUACCUGUGGGAUUUUGGCUGUAUACCAUACCCCCUUAUUCAUUUUACUUUUAAGUACAUUUGAAAUAUAAUUUCCUUGGAAAACAGAUCAUCUUUAAACAUGUACAUCUAAGGAUGGAAUUCAAUUAUGCAUUAUGUGUUGAAGGUUGCAUUGAAACAAAACGAAUGGAGAUUGAUCUUGUAUUCUAUGUAAGCAAAGAGAAAUGGGAAGUCUUUGUUUUGGUCUAAACUUUUGGAAUAGUAGAAAAAAUUAAAUGUUUUUUGCAGUAUAAAAUGAGUUUCUUACGACAGUAUUUUGUAACUGUUUUUACAAUUUCAAAAAAAAAUUGAAUAGUAAUAUCUAGUUUUGUGAUUGCAUGAGAUCAAUUGAUCUCCUCUAUAGGGUUGUCCCAUAAUUAUCUUAUAGCAUAGGGUGAAUUCAGACGACUGCUGUUUCAGCAAAAUCUUUCUUAUCCAUUGACAAGAUAGACAGUAAAUGUAUAGCAGUACAAUUGCUGCGAAUAUACUGUCGCAGCUUCAACACCCCGUGACGAGAUUACCAAAAUCACUUGUUGCUUUGUCCACCAACAAUGCCCGUGUAUUGUCUGUCAGCAAAAUGUUUUUAACUACGGUUGACAGCCAGAUGUAACCAUUACGUUCAAUCAGCACCCCUGCUCAAAAUGUCUUUCUGUGAAUAUAUUGUAGGAGAGGCACUGGGAGUGGACGUGGGGUGUGUUCAGGGCCCUAGUGGUUGUUUUAUUAACAAAAUGAAGGGAGAGUGGAGUAGUUGAGGGAGAAUCAAAAACCAAUAAUUUAAUCCCUUUGAGGAAGCAGCAUCAAUUUCGGGGGACCUCCUGUUGGGGAUUUGGGAAGAAUGGUUGUCGGGGUUGUAGGUUUGGCAGCGGUUUCAACAUGUCCCAUUUCCUGGUAAUCUUCCUCUUUUUUUUUCCAGCCUUCUCUUGUCCAUCUAUCCGCACUUUGUUUAUGUGGGCCUUGGCCCCGAGAUGCUCUCAAGAAAACUUAAAGUACCUCAUCUGAUAAAGUCCCAAUGGAUGGCAGGUAUGCAGGGCUGGUGCUGGUAGGACCGUAAUAUUCUGGACGCUACAGUCUGUUUUUGUUGAGAGCGUUAGUGCCACACAGAUUUGUGUGGGUGCGUUUCCACAUUGGUUAUUAAUGAAUCACUGCAAACGGUCCUAAGAAGUUGGUCAUUUCUGAAAUAAUUUUUUGAGGGAAUAUGUUAUUGUUGAAGUGAUUUUCUAAUUAUAGAUUUUUUUUCAAACUCUGGACUGUAAUUGCUGUGCUUCUUAAGUGUCUGGAAAGCAUGGUCCCUGUGAGGUAGGCUUUUCUUGGAGGUCCUAAAUCGUUAAGUAAUACAAGACUGUGUGUGUGUGUGUGUGUGUGUGUGU